rnacentral:rRNA from 1 species
UCCGUAGGUGAACCUGCGGAGGGAUCAUUACAGAGUUGCAAAACUCCCCAAACCAUUGUGAACUUACCUCAACCGUUGCUUCGGCGGGCGGGCUCUGGCCCCUAGGCCCCUCGCGGGGCGCCCGCCGGAGGUACACAAACUCUUGAAUAUCACGGCCUCUCUGAGUCCUCUGUACUGAAUCAGUCAAAACUUUCAACAACGGAUCUCUUGGUUCUGGCAUCGAUGAAGAACGCAGCGAAAUGCGAUAAGUAAUGUGAAUUGCAGAAUUCAGUGAAUCAUCGAAUCUUUGAACGCACAUUGCGCCCGCCAGUAUUCUGGCGGGCAUGCCUGUCCGAGCGUCAUUUCAACCAUCAAGCCCCGCGCUUGUGUUGGGGUCCUGCGGCUUCCCGCAGGCCCUGAAAACCAGUGGCGGGCUCGCUGUAGCACCGAGCGUAGUAGCAUAGCCUCGCUCAGGGCGCGACCGCGGGUCCCAGCCGUAAAAACCCCACACGUAAACAAAGGUUGACCUCGGAUCAGGUAGGAAGACCCGCUGAACUUAAGCAUAUCAAUAAGACGGAGGA